rnacentral:lncRNA from 1 species
GCUCUGACCAGUGCAGUAUCUGACCAGCUGGAGUAGUGCAGAACUCUCCCCUCCACUGAUCUGCACACCAUGCUUCUGUUCAUCGAACCUGAUGACUGGGUACUGGGUAGGAAGUGCUUGCAGAGUAAUACCCCACACUACCAUUGCCCCCGAGGUGUCUGAUGAGGGUACAUGGAUGUGGCCUGGCGAUGUAGCUAAUUAGACCCAUUUUAGGUUUAGGGCUGAGGGUCCUCCAUCACCCAGUAGGCCAAGACAAGGAUGGUGCAGCAGAGGGAACAUGGAGAGACUUUGGGAGCCGCAGCCUCACAGACAGAGCGCAGGGCAGACUCGAGAGCCCUCUCAGGAGCUACUGACACACUGUUCUUCAAGCCACAGCGUGUGCAUGUGUGUAGGCUGAGAAGUCUCCUCACUGAGCACAGAGGCUGCUCACACUGCCCGGGGAGGCCAUGUGGCUCACCGACAGCCCCCUGGAGCACCAGCAGCAGAAGUAGACAACCCAGGGCAGUGUGUGGCCAGGUCACACCUCCUCCUGCCUCCAUUCCACACUCUGGAACGUCAAGGGCCUGAAAGUUUGAACAUAUGGGGUCAAUCUCAGGAACUGGCCUUCCCUGAAUUGCUAGUCCCAUUGAUGCAACUGCGUCUAGACACCCCUAGGGAAUUUGUGUCUGCCUCAGAUUCUUUGCUUUGUUUUACCGAAGUGCUUUUCCAAUAUCUCCAGCAUGAGGGUUUGGAACUAAGUUGGCAUCUGGCCUAAUCAUCCAGGGAAAUUUGUGUGGUUUCCCAGCUGUCAGCUGGAGCUCCCCAGCCAACCUUAAACUCUAGAUCUGUGAGGCUGAAACCUUGAAUCCCUGUCUUAUGGGUGUGCAAGGUCUCCCCUAGACCUCGCUGGUUCCUGGGGGGUGGAACCAGCCUCUGCUUCCAGGCCUCCCUCUGGCCGCCCCCCUGCUUCCUGCUGUUGUAGAUGUUGCUCUGGGAACCCCAGCCUCUUCCCAGGCAGCACAAACCAGUUUACCCAAGCAGCGGACAGGAGAGAUGUCCUAAUAUGGUUCUAUGGUUCUUAGCACACUGCGUGACAAACAUCCCA